UGGAGGUCUGAGAAGGUUGAACAGCUCGUGCGGUGUUGUUCCUAACUGGUUACAACCUCCGACAUUAACGAUCAAACCACUCAAUGACGUAGCUCGGCUCUGCACUGAGCUUAAUUUGUGUGUUUGUGAACAAAUG